rnacentral:lncRNA from 1 species
UGCCCCCCUCUCUCUGAGUUAAAACAGGUUUGAUAUUUAGUCAGUUUUGAUAUUGUUUUUAUUAUAUGAAAAAAACUAAAGAGUAUCAUUCUUGCUCUGUUCUUAGAAAAAUUUGUGUUGCAGUAUAGAAGUCCCCCAGUAAAAGUAUGUCGAGAUGUGGUGAGUUUUAGUUGCUAACUAAUUGUAUUUUAUUAUGUGAACAUAUACAGACUUUCAUUUCAGUCAGACUUGUGCAUAAAAUAGUUAAAGAAUUUUGUAAGCCAGGAGGGGGGCUUCCUUUAUUGGAGCAAGUUUCGAUCCCUACUGCCUCAUUGAAACUCUGGAAGGAAAGAUAUGACUGAUGCAUUGUCUUCCAAUAGCCAAUGAGAAGGGAACUUAGCGGGUGAUGUCACCAAUACAUAUAAGGAGGUGAGAAUUUUAAGUACUCUAUAAUGUUUUCUAUGACUUUGCUAAGAGCAAAGGUGAUGUCGCCAAAUGUAAUUUUGUUUGGAAAGUUGCAGGUCCUUCUCUCUGCCAGUUUUAUACAACGAAGGCACUAUAGCCCUCAUAUUGCUCUAUUGGCAGUCUGGAGUUCUUCCUCAGUGUUAGGUGAGUUCUUGCAACUUGUAAUCUUUCUUGAGUGGAUCAUUACAUGAGGCAGUUAGUUGUUUUCCUCUAAUAUUCAGCACUUGACCCUUACACAAGCAAUUAUAAUUCUUUUUGGUAAAUCUGCUUCAGAAAACUCGAUUUUUGUUUGAUUUGUUGAAUGCAGGCAAACCAUAGGAUCCUUGAUGUAGAUGCUACUUGUUUAGAAGUCCCAUUGGAGCAUGUUGCCUCCAAUUUGGAAAAUUAUGGUAAUACAAGUUGCAAUUUAUCUUAAGUUAUAUUUAACAAAAAUAUACAUCUUUUCUGUCUAUUUUAUACACCUCCCUUGUUCUAAGACACACACACACAUAUUUUUAUUAUAAGAAUUAAAAUUUUUACUGUAUUUCUAAAUAAUUGAAAUUAAAUAUAUAUUGAAUUAUUUGCACUGCAUUUUUACUCUGUAACAGACCUUGUUGUUGAAGAUAGUGAACGAGCGGUGUCUGAAUCUGCAUGCGUAUCUAUUGUUGUGCUUGGUGCUUCUGGUGAUCUUGCAAAAAAGACUCUCCCUGAACUCUUGCACAUCUAAAUUUCGUUGUGAUAGUUGGCUUGUGUUGAUGGUUUCAUGUCAUUAUAGAACUAGCUCUCUUCAUUUUGAUAUUGGACAUGUAUUUUGUACUAUGAGGCGAUAAAUUUAUGCUAAUAUUUUUAUGAUUAAUGUUCUAUAA